rnacentral:rRNA from 1 species
AGCUAAUACCGCAUAACGUCGCAAGACCAAAGAGGGGGACCUUCGGGCCUCUUGCCAUCGGAUGUGCCCAGAUGGGAUUAGCUUGUUGGUGGGGUAACGGCUCACCAAGGCGACGAUCCCUAGCUGGUCUGAGAGGAUGACCAGCCACACUGGAACUGAGACACGGUCCAGACUCCUACGGGAGGCAGCAGUGGGGAAUAUUGCACAAUGGGCGCAAGCCUGAUGCAGCCAUGCCGCGUGUAUGAAGAAGGCCUUCGGGUUGUAAAGUACUUUCAGCGGGGAGGAAGGGAGUAAAGUUAAUACCUUUGCUCAUUGACGUUACCCGCAGAAGAAGCACCGGCUAACUCCGUGCCAGCAGCCGCGGUAAUACGGAGGGUGCAAGCGUUAAUCGGAAUUACUGGGCGUAAAGCGCACGCAGGCGGUUUGUUAAGUCAGAUGUGAAAUCCCCGGGCUCAACCUGGGAACUGCAU